ensembl:lncRNA
AUGUCAAUACUUUGGAAUGGUUUCCAAACUAAUCCUUUUGAUGCUCCUUAUGAGAUUCAAUGUCUCACUCAUUUUGCUCCCAUGGGAGCACAUUGUCAACAUUUUGAGCCCUCCCAAAGUCCUUCUCAGCACCCUCUCUCCUUACUCACCAUUGUCAUUGUUGCAGACAUCACUGCCGUCAGCCUCAUGGCAGUGAUUGUCACUUUGAUCACUGCUGCUGCCGUGGUUCUUGUAGCCAUCAUUAGAAUGGUCACCUUCACUGUCAUCACUGCUGCUGUAGUCACUGGCGUAGUCAGUUGGCAGUUCAGGACAUAUCAGGGCAUCUUCCAAAUAUUCCAAAUGUCCCGGGACAAACUCGGGUGCCAAGAUGAAAUCUUCCUCAGAGCUCUCUUCACUUCCAUUGUUCUCUUGAUCACUACUAACUACCAUGGCCACCAUGGAGCCUGAGGAGAUGUCUUGAUCGUCUCCAGAGAGGUUUCCUGAUACCUUCUCUUUCUGCAGUUCUUUCUUUUCUCCCUCUUCCACAACUUUGUCACUUCUUUCUACAGUUUGUCUUCUGAAAUAGUAAAACAUCUCUGCCAUGUUGAGAAAGUUCCUUUUCCUAGAGGUUUUGACUGAAAAAUAUGAAGAAGGAAAUGGAUUUUCAUUAGAGAUAGGGGUCAUAUGUACUAUGCACUAGCGUCAUGUGCAACUUUGAACAAAAUUAUAAGGAAAAUGUCCUGGUGAAAUGGAAAAAUAGAAUUGCUUUAAGUUUUGUGAGUAUUGACCAGUCCUUUUCCAACUCUUGUGUCUGGAAUCGUCAUCUCACUGCCCAUAGCAGCCAUCUUCAACAUUUCCUGGCCUCUCCUUCAGCUUCAGCCCCCAGUUUAAUGUGUGAAGGGCUCUAUAGAGGCUCUUUAUACUGCUUAAUUGCUCUACACUGAUGGCUGACUGGCUGCCCGCUGCGUUAGGAGAAAGUUCACUCACACUAAUAUCCUUUGGGGCCUGAUUCAGGAGCUUUCCCAUGAAUUCUCUGUGAAUAUCUUUGGCAACUAGUCCAGGUGCUCCACAUCUAAUUAGCAGAGGAGAGAAAUCUAGGAGCUGCUCCCUUGAAUGGCCUGGGUCUCCCGUUAUCACCCUCCUCACCUCUUGGCUUAGAGCUAUUUGUCUUUAUAUAGCUGACACCAAAAACUGUGGCAAUGAUGCUGCUGCAAGUAGGAAAUGCCAUAUUUUGAUAGAGCAGCAAACUAAAGUUUAGGGUGGAUGGGAAAGUUGACUUUCUCUGUAUCAGAGAAUUCUCAGAGAGCAUUGAGAGUCUCAAGCAUUGAGUCAAACCCAGUAGGCAUUUCUAAUCAUCUCUAUAGAGGAUUCUGAGUUCCCCAAGCAGAUUCUGUCUCUCACUUGCUCAGCUAUCUUCCCAUUUUCAUAUUAGACAAAGAAAAAGUUAUUUCCCCGCAAGGAAAAACGUCUUACCUUUGAUGUUCUCACAAGAGGUUGAUCAGCCAGGAACACAGCUGCAGUGGGAAUCUCUUCUUUAAGCUGGAAUCAAUGAAAAUCAGCUGGUGCUAGUCUUUUAUAUAUUUUCCCCAGGGAUCUCCAACCCUGUCCUAAUUACAUUUUGAAAGUAUGAAUCCCCUUCCCUCCACACCCUCUGGGCUUUCGUUCCUCUCUCCAUUCAGUUCUAUCCUUAACACGUCAUCCAGUCAACUUCAAUUUUGAUGUACUUCUUGAGGGCAAUCCAAUUAUUUACUCCCCAGAAACAAUUAAUCUGGAUUAGUUUAUCUCAGCAGUCUUCUAAGCAUCUGUCAAGUGCCAAAAUCUCAGGGAAUGAAGGACUACUGGCUUGUAGGCAGUGAAGAGAGUUUUCAUAUCAAAUGUUCAUACAGAUUCUUGCAGCUCUGAUAGCUGCAUGGCAGCAAAUCUGGGAUAUGUAGACAAGGCUCAGGCUUCACCGUUUUUGAUUAUUAGACUAAACAAUUACCAGCUACUCAAUGGA